AGCAGCCGCGGUAAUUCCAGCUCCAAUAGCGUAUAUUAAAGUUGUUGCAGUUAAAAAGCUCGUAGUUGAAUUUCGGGAUCAAUUGAUUGGUCAUGCCUACGGUAUGUACUAGUCAUAUUGGUUCUCACCUUCUAAUGAACCUUAAUGUCAUUCACUUGAUGUUUUGGGGAAUUAGGACUGUUACCUUGAAAAAAUUAGAGUGUUUAAAGCAGGCUUACGCUUGAAUACAUUAGCAUGGAAUAAUGAAAUAGGACAUCGCAUUCUAUUUUGUUGGUUUCUAGGAUCGAUGUAAUGAUUAAUAGGGAUAGUUGGGGGCAUUAGUAUUCAAUUGUCAGAGGUGAAAUUCUUGGAUUUAUUGAAGACUAACUACUGCGAAAGCAUUUGCCAAGGAUGUUUUCAUUAAUCAAGAACGAAAGUUAGGGGAUCGAAGACGAUCAGAUACCGUCGUAGUCUUAACCAUAAACUAUGCCGACUAGGGAUCGGAUGAUGUUAAUUUUAAAUGACUCAUUC
rnacentral:sRNA from 1 species